ACGGGUGAGUAACGCGUGGGAGUCUACCGUACCCUACGGAAUAGCUCUGGGAAACUGGAAGUAAUACCGUAUACGCCCUAACGGGGAAAGAUUUAUCGGGGUAUGAUGAGCCCGCGUUGGAUUAGCUAGUUGGUGGGGUAAAGGCCUACCAAGGCGACGAUCCAUAGCUGGUCUGAGAGGAUGAUCAGCCACAUUGGGACUGAGACACGGCCCAAACUCCUACGGGAGGCAGCAGUGGGGAAUAUUGGACAAUGGGGGCAACCCUGAUCCAGCCAUGCCGCGUGAGUGAUGAAGGUCUUAGGAUUGUAAAGCUCUUUCAACGGUGAAGAUAAUGACGGUAACCGUAGAAGAAGCCCCGGCUAACUUCGUGCCAGCAGCCGCGGUAAUACGAAGGGGGCUAGCGUUGUUCGGAAUUACUGGGCGUAAAGCGCACGUAGGCGGGUAUUUAAGUCAGGGGUGAAAUCCCGCAGCUCAACUGCGGAACUGCCUUUGAUACUGGGUAUCUUGAGUAUGGAAGAGGUAAGUGGAAUUGCGAGUGUAGAGGUGAAAUUCGUAGA
rnacentral:rRNA from 1 species